rnacentral:rRNA from 1 species
UGAAGAGGAGCUCGCGUCUGAUUAGCUAGUUGGUGGGGUAAAAGCCUACCAAGGCAGCGAUCAGUAGCUGGUCUGAGAGGACGAUCAGCCACACUGGGACUGAGACACGGCCCAGACUCUUACGGGAGGCAGCAUUGGGGAAUUUGUGCAAAGGCCGAAAGCCUGACGGAGCAUGACCGCGUGAGGGACGAAGGCUCUCCGGU